AAGACCUCGCGCUAUUGGAGCGGCCGAUGUCCGAUUAGCUAGUUGGUGGGGUAAUGGCCCACCAAGGCGACGAUCGGUAGCUGGUCUGAGAGGAUGAUCAGCCACACUGGGACUGAGACACGGCCCAGACUCCUACGGGAGGCAGCAGUGGGGAAUUUUGGACAAUGGGCGAAAGCCUGAUCCAGCCAUGCCGCGUGAGCGAAGAAGGCCUUCGGGUUGUAAAGCUCUUUCGGCCGGAACGAAAUCGCGCGAGCUAACACCUCGCGUGGAUGACGGUACCGGAAGAAGAAGCACCGGCUAACUACGUGCCAGCAGCCGCGGUAAUACGUAGGGUGCAAGCGUUAAUCGGAAUUACUGGGCGUAAAGCGUGCGCAGGCGGUUUUGUAAGUCAGAUGUGAAAUCCCCGAGCUCAACUUGGGAACU
rnacentral:rRNA from 1 species